UAUUAAAGGUUCCGCCUGCCCAGUGACUCUUUAAACGGCCGCGGUAUCCUAACCGUGCAAAGGUAGCAUAAUCACUUGUCCCCUAAAUCGGGACUAGAAUGAAUGGCUAAAUGAGGACUAAACUGUCUCUUACGGACUAGCCAAUGAAAUUGAUUUCCCAGUACAAAAGCUGGGAUAUACUCAUAAGACGAGAAGACCCUGUGGAGCUUCAAAACCAAACCACCCAGCAUGCUCCUUGGAUUUUUAGUUGGGGCGACUUCGGAAUAUAAAAAAACUUCCAAAAUGAAUAAUUUUAUUUAGGUUAACACACCAAAAUUAGCCCACUAGACCCAGCAACUAACUGUUAGUCUGAUUAAUGAACCAAGUUACCCCAGGGAUAACAGCGCAAUCUCCUUUUAGAGUCCAUAUCGACAAGGGGGUUUACGACCUCGAUGUUGGAUCAGGACACCCCAAUGGUGCAGCCGCCAUUAAAGGUUCGUUUGGUCAACGAUUAAUAGUCCUACGUGAUCUGAGUUCAGACCGGA
rnacentral:rRNA from 1 species